GUGGCUUCCACAAUAAACCCCAAAUGCCAAGCACUAACCCAUGAACUUGUACCCUGUCUGAAGUAUGGGUUUGCUCACACAGAUUAAUAACAAUGAGGAAAGCUUGACUCCCAGAAUAACAGUGUUCAAUGGGGCCUCAGAGGUUAUCUAGUCCAAAUCGCACCUGAAUAAUAAUCCUCUCUACAAUAUUCCUAACCUUUGUUCUUCCAGACUCCACAUGAAGACCUCCUAUAAGAGGGGACUGUAAUGCACUAGAAGGAACACUGGACCUGCCAGGCAUUACUUGGAGCCUUGGUUUCCUUCUUUGUAAAGCAAAUCUACCUUCAUGUUCCUGUAAGCUUCCCCUGGGUUGUACUGAAAACUUGCUUCUCCAAGGCCUGAGAACACACCUGCAA
rnacentral:lncRNA from 1 species